CAAUACAACAAACCCGGAGAAGCGCUUUCGCCGCAUGACAGAUUUCGCAUGGCAUGGAACCGUGGAAUUUUCCCAAUACUGGUCGGGUAGAGAGAGAAUUAUAAACUACGUACUUGAUAGAUAAUACUGAUGACUCGGUGACUGAGUGAACGUAGAAAUUACUCAUUUAACUAUUAUAAUAGAAGGUAAGAGGCAUUUAUCACAUUCAAUUACAUUGAAUUGCUCAAACCUAAA